rnacentral:rRNA from 1 species
GGGGAAUAUUGCGCAAUGGGGGCAACCCUGACGCAGCCAUGCCGCGUGAAUGAAGAAGGCCUUCGGGUUGUAAAGUUCUUUCGGUAGCGAGGAAGGCAUUUAGUUUAAUAAACUAGGUGAUUGACGUUAACUACAGAAGAAGCACCGGCUAACUCCGUGCCAGCAGCCGCGGUAAUACGGAGGGUGCGAGCGUUAAUCGGAAUAACUGGGCGUAAAGGGCACGCAGGCGGUGACUUAAGUGAGGUGUGAAAGCCCCGGGCUUAACCUGGGAAUUGCAUUUCAUACUGGGUCGCUAGAGUACUUUAGGGAGGGGUAGAAUUCCACGUGUAGCGGUGAAAUGCGUAGAGAUGUGGAGGAAUACCGAAGGCGAAGGCAGCCCCUUGGGAAUGUACUGACGCUCAUGUGCGAAAGCGUGGGGAGCAAACAGGAUUAGAUACCCUGGUAGUCCACGCUGUAAACGAUGUCGAUUUGGGGGUUGAGCUUUGAGCUUGGCGCCCGUAGCUAACGUGAUAAAUCGACCGCCUGGGGAGUACGGCCGCAAGGUUA